rnacentral:rRNA from 1 species
CCUACGGGCGGCAGCAGUGGGGAAUAUUGCGCAAUGGGCGAAAGCCUGACGCAGCGACGCCGCGUGAGGGAUGAAGGUCUUCGGAUCGUAAACCUCUGUCAGCAGGGAAGAACGGUCACUGUGCUAAUCAGCAGUGAAUUGACGGUACCUGCAAAGGAAGCACCGGCUAACUCCGUGCCAGCAGCUGCGGUAAUACGGAGGGUGCGAGCGUUAAUUGGAAUGACUGGGCGUAAAGCGCUCGUAGGCGGUAUGUCAAGUCAAGGGUGAAAUCCCCGCGCUCAACGUGGGAACUGCAUUUGAUACUGGCAAACUGGAGUGUGGGAGAGGAUAGUGGAAUUCCAGGUGUAGGAGUGAAAUCCGUAGAUAUCUGGAGGAACAUCAGUGGCGAAGGCGACUAUCUGGCACAUAACUGACGCUGAGGAGCGAAAGCGUGGGUAGCAAACAGGAUUAGAUACCCCAGUAGUC